AGAGUUUGAUCCUGGCUCAGGAUGAACGCUGGCGGCGUGCUUAAUACAUGCAAGUCGAACGAAGCACCUUGGACAGAAUCCUUCGGGAGGAAGACCAUUGUGACUGAGUGGCGGACGGGUGAGUAACGCGUGGGUAACCUGCCUUGUACAGGGGGAUAACAGUUGGAAACGACUGCUAAUACCGCAUAAGCGCACAGUACCGCAUGGUACGGUGUGAAAAACUCCGGUGGUACAAGAUGGACCCGCGUCUGAUUAGCUGGUUGGUGAGGUAACGGCCCACCAAGGCGACGAUCAGUAGCCGACUUGAGAGAGUGAUCGGCCACAUUGGGACUGAGACACGGCCCAAACUCCUACGGGAGGCAGCAGUAGGGAAUAUUGCACAAUGGGGGAAACCCUGAUGCAGCGACGCCGCGUGAAGGAAGAAGUAUUUCGGUAUGUAAACUUCUAUCAGCAAGGAAGAAAAUGACGGUACUUGACUAAGAAGCCCCGGCUAAAUACGUGCCAGCAGCCGCGGUAAUACGUAUGGGGCAAGCGUUAUCCGGAUUUACUGGGUGUAAAGGGAGCGUAGGCGGCAUGGCAAGUCAGAAGUGAAAGCCUGGGGCUCAACCCCGGAAUUGCUUUUGAAACUGUCAGGCUAGAGUGUCGGAGGGGUAAGCGGAAUUCCUAGUGUAGCGGUGAAAUGCGUAGAUAUUAGGAGGAACACCGGUGGCGAAGGCGGCUUACUGGACGAUUACUGACGCUGAGGCUCGAAAGCGUGGGGAGCAAACAGGAUUAGAUACCCUGGUAGUCCACGCCGUAAACGAU
rnacentral:rRNA from 1 species